UUGUGCUCCCGAAGAGGGAGCAAAAGAGUGAGGGAGACGGAAAGAGUUGGUAAGGUAUAUACCCUUGUUCGCGAUGGAGUAGGUAGGUAUGUACGGUCGGCAAAGUCCGCUCAGUCGGCACGGAUAGAAUGGCGGGUGUGGUACGUGACUAUGCGCGAUAGAAGGAGAAGGUCGAAAGAAAGGACAGAGGGGCGGCAGAGCGAAGGAUAAGCCGAGUACAUCACGGACUCUGGAACUGAAAGUGGUUCUAAUAACUAGCAUCAGGCCUGUAAGCAUGCUCAUGGCAGUAUUUUAAUGGCGGGAGGUCCUUGAAAGUACCUUGAGGACAGAAAGGAAAGAGAUCCCCCCCCACCCGGAGUGUCACUUGAAGUAUUUUGCGUAUUUCUCACGUCCGGAGGAGGACAAUGAACCAACUUCCAACUUUCUAAGCCUUGUACGCGUGCCGGUAGCAGAACAGAAGGAAGAAAAUGAAUUCACCGGUACAUAAUGAUCGCACACUUGUCCAACCGAGGUGAAGCCCGUGUGCACCAACACGGCGAUGUGAGAGACAGAGAGGGAGAGAGAAAAAGAAAGAGAGGGAGAGAAAGAGAGUAAGUACGCAAUGCAAAGCAACGAAACGGAACAGCAGAUCUUAUAGCUCCGUUACAACCGGCUAGCUGACCGAUCCCAACGAAUACGGCCGGUACCACACCCGCUCGGGCAUUUCGAGCGGAAUGAUCGAGAGAUAAACUCGUUCGCCCGCUGCUUAAUCGUAUACCGGCGUAACGAGUCUCAGGUUUCCGCGGUAUACAGGAGGAGGAGAAAGGGGAUGAGUUCUUUUUUAAAACGCUUGUUUUGCGUGGUUUGAGUCCCGGUUUAGAGGGAAAACAUUUGACGAGGGUGCAAGUAUAUUUGCUUUGGCCAUAAACAUAAAUUGAAAUAAUCAAGAACAGCGGCUGCAUCCGAAUAUUUCUCUGUGACGCGGCGUAAUUUAGUUUCUGACCUGGUUGGAACGGCACAAAAGGGGGAAACGUAAUACGAAUACAGAACGAGCUUUAUACACAACGAGGAUACAAAG